rnacentral:rRNA from 1 species
UAGGGAAUCUUCCGCAAUGGACGAAAGUCUGACGGAGCAACGCCGCGUGAGUGAUGAAGGCUUUCGGGUCGUAAAACUCUGUUGUUAGGGAAGAACAAGUGCUAGUUGAAUAAGCUGGCACCUUGACGGUACCUAACCAGAAAGCCACGGCUAACUACGUGCCAGCAGCCGCGGUAAUACGUAGGUGGCAAGCGUUAUCCGGAAUUAUUGGGCGUAAAGCGCGCGCAGGUGGUUUCUUAAGUCUGAUGUGAAAGCCCACGGCUCAACCGUGGAGGGUCAUUGGAAACUGGGAGACUUGAGUGCAGAAGAGGAAAGUGGAAUUCCAUGUGUAGCGGUGAAAUGCGUAGAGAUAUGGAGGAACACCAGUGGCGAAGGCGACUUUCUGGUCUGUAACUGACACUGAGGCGCGAAAGCGUGGGGAGCAAACAGGAUUAGAUACCCUGGUAGUCCACGCCGUAAACGAUGAGUGCUAAGUGUUAGAGGGUUUCCGCCCUUUAGUGCUGAAGUUAACGCAUUAAGCACUCCGCCUGGGGAGUACGGCCGCAAGGCUGC